GAAUCACUGGGCCAGAGUGAGCUGCAGUCGGCUCCUGUGUGCUUUUCUGAGCUUUUCAAAUGAUGACAGUGAACCCAUGUUGCAUAAGGUAAUGGAAAGAACGCCAUCCACCAGGCACCCUGGUGGUGAAUGAAGUACAUUGUCUGGGUUUGAAAGAAAUAACUCUUUAAGUCACUUGUGCUGGGACCCCAGGGAUGGGCUCAGGUAACAAAAGGUGUUGCUAAACGGCCUUCCAAGAAAGCUGGCCCCUGUUAACGGGAGGCCCCUGGGUGCAGCAAAAAAAAAAAAAAAAAAAAAUCAGGGAUUGGCCUUGGUUGACAAGAUGGUUGUUCAACUUGAGAAAAUUCCAGAAUUGCCUGGGGGAGCAUUUACUACACCCAGUGCCCAGCGCCCCCACAUCAGACCAUUUGGCUCCAAAUCCUGGGAAGUGGGGAGACCAGAAGGCAUCAAAGGUUUCUAAGUGUCCUCAGAUGACUCCGGCAGGCCAAGCAGCAGCUAGGAAAUGUUCAAACUACGGAAAAGUGCAGAGAAUCGUACGACGACCCCACUACCUGCUACCAGCCUCAUCAAUCAGCAACACGGAGUCCCUUCGGUGUGAGGGGGUUUAAGGUGCGUGCUGCAGGCAGGUGGUGAGCCCCAGCUUCCCUGGGAACCUCCUGGAAAGCCCACGCUGCUCAUCAGUGAUUCCGUGACAGCAGAUCCUUGGCUGGAACACAGAACUCCAGCGCCGAGUUCUUGGGCUGGAACGUGAUUUGACAGGAGAGCCAACAGCUGGGACACAGGACUUUUGUAUUAAGGCAAAAACAGUUAUAUUCAAAAAGAAAUUGCCACGCAUUUGUCCUAAUCCCUCCUUGACUUGUCUCCUUGGUUCUCUUGUUUGGGGAUAGGGCCUUAGGGCUUACCCCUAAAAGGAUCAAGGAGGUGAGUGAGUAGCCUGGGAAUACCUGGAGGGUGACAGCUGGGCCAGGGUGUCUCCCGAAAGUCCUACUUUAUGUGCUCCUUUGUUCUUCCGACAAAGAUUCACGGAGCACCUCCUUCAUGCCAGGGGUCGUGUUCUAAGUUGUGGGUUCACGCAGCUCACACAGUCGAGUGCAGGAGAUGGAUGGUCAACAGAAAGGACAAUGGGCAGCAAGUCGGAUUGUGACAUGUAGCACUCGUGCUACAGAAAAAAAAAAAAAUAAAGCAGGGAAGUGGACGAGGGCGGCUGGCA
rnacentral:lncRNA from 1 species